GACGGAGGGCGCAAGCGUUGUUCGGAAUUACUGGGCGUAAAGCGCCCGCAGGCGGUCUUUUAAGUCGACUGUGAAACUCCGGGGCUCAACUCCGGAUAUGCAGCCGAUACUGGAAGACUAGAGACUGGUAGAGGCUAAUGGAAUUCCUGGUGUAGCGGUGGAAUGCGUAGAUAUCAGGAAGAACACCAGUGGCGAAGGCGGUUAGCUGGGCCAGUUCUGACGCUCAUGGGCGAAAGCGUGGGGAGCAAACAGGAUUAGAUACCCCCGUA
rnacentral:rRNA from 1 species